GAAAAACUAGUUAAUUAAUAACAUAAGAUUGUCAAUCUUAAAUUACCUUUGUGUUUUUUU
rnacentral:tRNA from 1 species